rnacentral:rRNA from 1 species
UACGUAGGGUGCAAGCGUUGUCCGGAAUUAUUGGGCGUAAAGAGCUCGUAGGCGGUUUGUCGCGUCUGCUGUGAAACUCGGGGCUCAACCCCGAGCUUGCAGUGGGUACGGGGCAGACUAGAGUGCGGUAGGGGAGACUGGAAUUCUGGUGUAGCAGUGAAAUGCGUAGAGAUCAUGAGGAAGACCAGUGGCGAAGGCGGGUCU